GAACUGGAUCAUGCCCUGGAGUCAAAGUUCUGAACAAAACGAAGAUAGAAAGCACCAUUAAGUUCCUUUUUAAAUAAAUAAAUCAUUAAGAAAACCAUAAAUAACUAAAACUAACCAAACAAAAAUUACUUAUUCAUUUCCUUGUCCAUUUGCAAACCCAAGAAAACUUCAAAUAUCAAUUUGCAAAGCCAAGAAAAAUCAAAGACCGAAAAUCCAAAAACCAAAUAAACAUUACGUAUCCUUGUAAGGGUAUUUUAUUGUGCUCCAAUUGCUUUUAAAUCCAAGUCAGUUUACUAUUGUUCAUUCACUGUCUGUUUCUGUAAAACAAAUAAAAUAAGAUUAAGAAAAAUAAUCAUGACUUGUUCUCUGCCUUCAGUUUCUUCAAUUUCCACGUGCUGUUAGGUUUUUCUUUCCUUUGAACUUCUUUAAUUCAUAUCAGCAGACCUUUCAAAAAAAUUGUGUACACAUAUUUAUGGGCUAUUCACUUACCCGCAAAUAGCGUGGCCAACUUCAUGAUAUGCAACA
rnacentral:misc_RNA from 1 species